rnacentral:rRNA from 1 species
UACGUAGGGGGCUAGCGUUGUCCGGAAUCAUUGGGCGUAAAGAGCGUGUAGGCGGUCCGGUAAGUCCGCUGUGAAAGUCGGGGGCUCAACCCUCGAAUGCCGGUGGAUACUGUCGGGCUAGAGUGCGGAAGAGGCGAGUGGAAUUCCUGGUGUAGCGGUGAAAUGCGCAGAUAUCAGGAGGAACACCUAUUGCGAAGGCAGCUCGCUGGGACGUCACUGACGCUGAGACGCGAAAGCGUGAGGAGCAAACAGG